GAUGAACGCUAGCGAUAGGCUUAACACAUGCAAGUCGAGGGGCAGCAUAAAUAGUAGCUUGCUAUUAUUGGUGGCGACCGGCGCACGGGUGAGUAACGCGUAUCCAAUCUACCCGUAACACAGGGAUAGCCCGUCGAAAGGCGGAUUAAUACCUGAUAAUACAGGGGCACCGCAUGGUGAUAUUUGUUAAAGAAUUUCGGUUACGGAUGAGGAUGCGUUCCAUUAGGUAGUUGGUAGGGUAACGGCCUACCAAGCCAACGAUGGAUAGGGGAACGGAGAGGUUUAUCCCCCACACUGGUACUGAGACACGGACCAGACUCCUACGGGAGGCAGCAGUGAGGAAUAUUGGUCAAUGGGCGAUAGCCUGAACCAGCCAAAUCGCGUGAAGGAAGACGGUAUUAUGUAUUGUAAACUUCUUUUGUAUGGGAAUAACAGUAGGGACGUGUCCUUAUUUGCAUGUACCAUAGGAAUAAGCAUCGGCUAACUCCGUGCCAGCCGCCGCGGUAAAAC
rnacentral:rRNA from 1 species